GAUGUGAGAGAAACACAUCGAUUGGCUGCCUCCUGCAUGUGCCCCCACCAUGGCUCAGGUGAGAAGGACCCUGCAACCCAGGUACGUGCUCCUGACCAGAAUCGAACCCGGUACCACCUGGUCUGAGCUACAGAGUGAUAUAAAGAUGGUUGCUACUCAUGCUGGGGUUGCAGGAACCCAGGAGAGGCCAAGCUGUGCACCGAGGCGGCAGCUGCUAGUGCUGGGCCUGGGGCCACUAAGCAAGAGGUAGGAGGCAUGCCCAGGCCAGACGCUUCUUGUUCAGGGUUCGUGGAUCUUGGAGCCACGACAGGUCAUUUUUAUGGAAAAGCCACUGGAGAUGGCUUUGGUAAGCCCACAAGUUGUCAUUCAGUCAUCCCCUAUGGAGUGCCUACUAGAGAUCAGGUAUGGUUCCAGGGACAGGGGACCCUCCACUAUGCACAAAAAGUGAGCAGUCUUCUCGAAAUGUCAGGGUAGAUCUUUUUGUGUGUGUGUUAAUCCUCACCUGAGGAUAUUUUUUGCAUUGAUUCUUAGAGUGGAAGGGAGAGAGGAAGGGUGAGAGAGAGAGAUUAAUUUGAGAGAGACAUAUCUAUUGGUUGCCUGUUGCAUGCACCACGACCAGGGCCAGAAAUUGAACUUGCAACCCGAGUAUGUGCCCUAGACUGGAAAUCAAACCCAUGGCCCUUUGGUGGGCAGGCUGAUGCUCCAACCACUGAACACACCGGCCAAGGUAGGGGAGAUCUUUUCUGAUUGGGCUAUACCCCCUUUCUCCUGGGGGAGGGGUCAUGAAGUGUCAGUGAAAGUGUGAAGCUGGGCCAAGGCUACCUGGCUUGAUUAAAAUAGGGCAUUUGUUCAUGAAUACAUUUUCUUUAAAAAAGUCUUAUAAAGUGAAAUGUAUUUAAGACCUUCACUAAUUUAAAUCCCUUCAGAAGCCUGGGUAAGAAGUAACUUCCUUCUGAACUUCCCAGCAACCAUUGUAGCUUAAUUAAAGAAUGAAAAAAGUGGGUUUUUUUGCAAAUGUUACCCAGCCUAUCUAUCAAAGUACAUAAAUGCUGCUCUUGGACAGAAUAUGAGCAGGCCUGUGACGUGUGAAUAGACCACAACUGAGGAAAGAGCUGGGUGAUAUAACCUGGGGAAGCUGCUGAGGAAUCCGCUCCUCCAGCAUUAGCUGAACUUCCUAUUGUGUGUUCUCCAAGGUUAACAUGUGAACUACCUCACCUCCCUGGGCAAGCCCUGCCACGCCUUCCAUGACACUGUGUGGAGCCUCAUAACUUCCCUGUCCGACGUUACCAGGCCCCUCCUCUCUGCUGCUCAUCACACACAAAUCUUGGAGGGCAAAGUGCUGACAGUGAGUUCUCUCCUUCCCACAUGGGUAUCAUAGAGUAACUUCUAAUUUUAAAAACCAUUUGGUUUCAGAUGCAAGGCGAACUUCGCUGCAUAGUGACACCUGGCGAUAGCCUAAGGAGAUCCUAGAAAUCCCUGUGAGGCGCCUAUGUUUACUGUUGGUCACCGAGAUUGAGGCAAAGGGUUGCUUGAUCUUAUUUUAUCCUUUGGAGACUGGAAUUUUCCCUUUCACCAACUCUUACUAUUGUUCAUCACAUUUUAUCUGAAUGAAGUUAAGGUAGGGGUUAAGAUUUUAUCCACUUUAGUUAACACAUUAAGCGCCCUGUCGAUCAUCGGUGACUGACACUAUACUUUCCGUCCGGAAGACAAAACAGGCUGGGCGCUUAACGUGGUAAGGAUAUCUUUUGAGGCAGCGGUCGCCAACUUUUCGGACCUCACGGACCACCGGUUGGUGACCGCUGUUUUAAAGUACUUCAUUGUGGUUCACAAAUGUCAGUUGCUUCUAUAUGGCCUCACUGAUUGUCACAAUAAACCCUUAGCCAGUGGUUCUCAACCUUCCUAAUGCUGCGACCCUUUAAUACAGUUCCUCAUGUUGUGGUGACCCCCAAUUUCACUGUUACAAAUUGAACAUAAAGCAUAGUGAUUAAUCACAAAAACAAUAUGUAAUUAUGUAUGUGUUUUAUGAUGGUCUUAGGCGACCCCUGUGAAAGGGUUGUUCGAUCCCCAAAGGGGUCGUGACCCACAGGUUGAGAACUGCUGCGCUUAGAUGGUAAUGGUCCUAAGGUUUAAAAGUUAAUUCCAGUGUGUAGAAAGAAAAAUGUGCAGAGAGGUCAAGGGUCAAAGGUAAAUGUUUCAGAAGCCCACGUGACACACAAGGAACCAGAAUGCAGGCCUUAUUUCCGGACAUCAAUAAAUUCAUGUUACAGGCGUUCACCACUAAAACAGGAUCUUCGAUGAACGCCAACAGAGAAGUCCACUGUAAUGCAGCUCAUGCCAUAUUUCAGUCAAUACGACCUUCUGAAAAGAGAUGGCUCUGCCCUAGAGGUUGAAACAAGACUCUGAAUUGACAACUUGAAAUGAGCCACCAGUGGUGAGAAUCCUUUUUGAUGGUGUGAAACGGGACCCUAACUGCACGGACAGACCCUGGAGGCAUUUGCUGCCCAGCUUCCGCACAAAGGAGAGUGUGCAGCUGGGUAUCUACAGACCCUGGAUUUGCUGAAAAGGAUUAAGUGGGUAGAAACUGAGUGCUCUACGGAAUGGCCAGAUCAGUUAUUAAGACAGAACUUUGAUAUAGACCUGCUAGCUUUAGCGCCUGGAAGGAGUCUCCAAAUUCAGGGAAAAGGAAUGUUACUUUCACAAAUAAGAAAGAAAAAAAAAGCUGGCCCGAAUUUUUGUUGAUGAUAUGCUUACACAUCUCUUUGACUUCUGCCAGAUCAUUUUCUUCCUGUCAAGUGCAAGAAGGUUCCAGGGAGUCAUACUUUGGAAAAAAAAGCCCAGCCUUGUUCUAAUUGAUACAUUAAUUUUAAAGAGCAGGAGGGAAAUUUCCCUUUAGUGCAAUAUUGAAACAUCUCUCAUGAUGUGUAUUCAAGAUGCUGGCCCUCAACCUUUCUGUGUCCUUUCUGUGUCCUCCCUUUACCCUGCUCGAGGGGUUGGAUGCAAUCCUGGAAGGAGAAAGCGUAAGAAGUGAUAGCUGAUGCCUUGAGCAGCUCGUCGCUACCACUCCAGCAGCAGUGCGGAGUUGCAUCCAUGGCCCCCAAAUUCACACCUUCCUACCUUCUCCUGCUGAACCCUUGCCCCGGCCAUGUACUAAAGGGGUUCCCCAUGAAUGAUUCCUACGUGUGUUCCAUAAAGCAGGCUGUAUUUUCCCAAAAGAACAAUGCUAUGACUAAACAUAGAUUUGCUGAAAAUAUUUCACAAAAAGCAAACAUAGUCUACAGAGAAAUUUAAAGUGAAAAAUAGAUUGCAACAUUUCAUAAGAUGGUCACAAAUGUACUUUACAAGGAAACCAAUGUCCUAAAAUAUAUUUGUCCAGCAAACACAAGUACAAUUUUAUCACAAGUUUUACCUAUAUUAACAUGUCAGCAAUUGUAAGUAUUAAAUAUUUAACGAUAAUUUUGUCUUCUUAAAAGUUAGAAGGGCUUUCUGGGGAUGAUUUGGAUAUCCCACUUGCCUUAAAAAGUUUUUCAAGGAAGUCUGAAAUGAUAUCUUCUCUUGUGAUAAAUAUUCUCUAAUUUUUUUAAAACAUAUUUUAUUGAUUUUUUACAGAGAGGAAGAGAGAGGGAUAGAGAGUUAGAAACAUCGAUC